UCCUUCUGUCCUGUAUAAUUCUAUGAAAUCCUUGAACUCAUAUUCUACUGGAGGAACAAGGACCAGACUACAUGGAUUCUGAUGAUUCCUCCGCACUUACUUCCUUUUGAUUAAUUGAUGGGAAGAGCUGGAUAAAGAA